CGCAGGGUUGCCCAGGAACAUGGUUUCACACAUUCUCCUGUAGGAAAUCCAUAACCACUAUCACCACGUGGUCAUUUCCAGCAUCUUGGGAUGUAGAGGAUGCCGGCUGGUCCCUGCAGUGGCAGAUCCUGUGGCAACUCUGGAAAUCCUGUGAAGAACUUACGGAGGCCCUGUGAAGAUCCUAUGGAGAUCCAGUCGAGGUCCUAUGAAGAUCCACGGAGAACCUAUGGAUGUCCUGCAAAGGUGUUUCUCUCACAUGGAGGAAAAGACAUAAGCCAUUGGAAGAGGCUCAGAUAAUUCUGCCCACCUCAGAUCCCAGAGGUAGAACACACGGGCUGGGAAAGGAAAGGAGCGUGUCAUCAACAGCCCCCAUCACCACCCCUCCAGGUGACUCACUGGGCAGAUAAGCACGUCCUGGGCCUGCACUUUUAGAAAAACAAACAAAAAACAAAAACCCAGUGCUGAUGGC
rnacentral:lncRNA from 1 species